GCCUGAGUCACUCUUCCGCUGCCAGCCAUUUUGUUUAGAACAGCCGUAUUCACCCAUUGUUUGUUGUACCGGUCACCUCAUAAAAGUCUAGUUUAAAAUUACUGCUACGCAGUCAGCACAAUCGCGUAUCAGCCGAAAAAAUGGAGAAGGAAGGACAAACUGAUUUCAGCACAGACGAAUUUCCCGAGGGAUCCAAGAUAAAUGCAAGCAAAAAUCAACAGGAUGAUGGCAAAAUGUUCAUAGGGGGACUCAGUUGGGAUACCAGCAAGAAAGAUCUCACAGACUAUCUGUCAAAGUUUGGAGAGGUCCUGGACUGCACCAUCAAAACUGACCCCAUGACAGGACGGUCCCGGGGCUUUGGGUUCGUCCUCUUCAAAGAUGCAGACAGCGUUGAGAGGGUGCUGGAGCUGAAAGAGCACAAAUUGGAUGGGAAGCUGAUUGAUCCCAAAAGAGCCAAAGCAAUGAAGGGGAAAGAGCCUCCCAAAAAAGUCUUUGUGGGCGGGCUGAGCCCUGAGACAUCAGAGGAACAAAUCCGGGAGUAUUUUGGAAGAUUUGGUGAUAUCGACAAUAUCGAACUUCCAAUGGAUGCCAAAACAAAUGAGAGAAGGGGAUUCUGUUUUGUGACGUACUUGGAGGAGGAACCUGUUCAGAAACUUUUGGAGAAUCGAUACCAUCAGGUUGGAUCUGGAAAGUGUGAAAUCAAAGUCGCCCAGCCCAAAGAAGUGUACAGACAGCAGCAGCAGCACAGAGGGGACAGGGGCCACUACGGAGGAAGAGGAGGAUCCAGAGGCCGCAGCCGAGGAGGUCAAAGCCACAGCUACAACCAGGACUACAACUAUUAUGGCCAGAAUUAUGGAGGAUAUGGGAAUGGAUACAAUCAAGGAUACAAUGGCUACACUGGCUAUGAUUAUUCUGGCUACAACUAUAAUAGCUAUGGCUAUGGACAGGGCUACGAUGACUACAAUGGCCAGCAGAGCAGUUAUGGCAAGGCCUCGCGAGAAGGUGGAAACCACCAGAACAACUACCAGCCCUACUGAUCAGAAAUCAAGACCUGCCGAAAUAAUUCUGUGAGGACUUCAUUGCAGGCCGUGUGUCACCUGACCACGACAUUCUCUGGGCGUCGCACAUAGCGGGCAGAGAGCACGGCAUGCACAAGAAAGCGCUGUCCUGUGGUGGGCAGGCUGGCUGAGAGUUCAUCUUUGUACCCUGGUGGCAGCUUGGAGAUUCUUGUCCUUUUUUAAAUGAAACUAUUUUUUUUUUUUUUUUUUUUUUAAAAAUUGUUGUCCUCCACAGAAGUUGAUACCCCACGUGUCCAACUUUGUAAAUAGGGAGUUUUUCCGUUCCUGGAAUUUUCUCAUGUUGUACUUUACAUAUAUGGUGUUGUGAUGCAAUGAACAAUCUGUUCUGUCAUUCUGUUUUGAGUUGCGUUCUUUUUUUAAUUUCAGUCCAGAAAGAACUAUUAAAGAGUAUGGGUACAAAA